UUGAGAGCGGCGGACGGGUGAGUAAUGCCUAGGAAUCUGCCUGGUAGUGGGGGAUAACGUCCGGAAACGGACGCUAAUACCGCAUACGUCCUACGGGAGAAAGCAGGGGACCUUCGGGCCUUGCGCUAUCAGAUGAGCCUAGGUCGGAUUAGCUAGUUGGUGAGGUAAUGGCUCACCAAGGCGACGAUCCGUAACUGGUCUGAGAGGAUGAUCAGUCACACUGGAACUGAGACACGGUCCAGACUCCUACGGGAGGCAGCAGUGGGGAAUAUUGGACAAUGGGCGAAAGCCUGAUCCAGCCAUGCCGCGUGUGUGAAGAAGGUCUUCGGAUUGUAAAGCACUUUAAGUUGGGAGGAAGGGUUGUAGAUUAAUACUCUGCAAUUUUGACGUUACCGACAGAAUAAGCACCGGCUAACUCUGUGCCAGCAGCCGCGGUAAUACAGAGGGUGCAAGCGUUAAUCGGAAUUACUGGGCGUAAAGCGCGCGUAGGUGGUUUGUUAAGUUGGAUGUGAAAGCCCCGGGCUCAACCUGGGAACUGCAUUCAAAACUGACAAGCUAGAGUAUGGUAGAGGGUGGUGGAAUUUCCUGUGUAGCGGUGAAAUGCGUAGAUAUAGGAAGGAACACCAGUGGCGAAGGCGACCACCUGGACUGAUACUGAC
rnacentral:rRNA from 1 species